UUGCCUUAAACUAAUGAGUAAGGAAAACAAAGCGAACGGUGAGAACCGGGCGCAGCGCAUCUAAAAAUGAAAGAGCGCACGAAUUUAUGGAGGGGUUAUAGGCUGGCCAGGUGUUGACGCUGCUUACUUUGCAGAACUCACUUGUGCGGGCCUCCC
rfam:Daucus carota subsp. sativus cultivar DH1 chromosome 2, whole genome shotgun sequence.